CAACCUCCCACCCAUGUUUAUUGUACCUUGUUGCUUCGGCGGGCCCGCCUCACGGCCGCCGGGGGGCUUCUGCCCUCCGGCCCGCGCCCGCCGAAGACACCAUUGAACACUGUCUGAAGAUUGCAGUCUGAGCAAUUAGCUAAAUAAGUUAAAACUUUCAACAACGGAUCUCUUGGUUCCGGCAUCGAUGAAGAACGCAGCGAAAUGCGAUACGUAAUGUGAAUUGCAGAAUUCAGUGAAUCAUCGAGUCUUUGAACGCACAUUGCGCCCCUUGGUAUUCCGGGGGGCAUGCCUGUCCGAGCGUCAUUGCUGCCCUCAAGCACGGCUUGUGUGUUGGGCCCCGUCCUCCUUCCCGGGGGACGGGCCCGAAAGGCAGCGGCGGCACCGCGUCCGGUCCUCGAGCGUAUGGGGCUUUGUCACCCGCUCUUGUAGGCCCGGCCGGCGCUUGCCGACAACCAUCAAUCUUUUUUCAGGUUGACCUCGGAUCAGGUAGGGAUACCCGCUGAACUUAAGCAUAUCAAUAAGCGGAGGAA
rnacentral:sRNA from 1 species